rnacentral:hammerhead_ribozyme from 1 species
GCACUACUGAAGAGUCCCAAACUAGGACGAAAUAGCUGUCCAGUAC